UUUUUUUUUACCAUUAAAAAAUUUUUAUUGGGGUAUAGUUGAUUUACAAUGUGUUAGUUUCAAGUAUACAGUAAACUGAAUCAGUUAUACAUACACUUUGGGAUCCUCUUCCUCUUAUAGACUAUUACAGAGCACUCAAUUUCCUGUGCUAUACAGGUCUUUAUUAGUUAUCUAUUUUAUACUUAGUGGUGUGUAUGUAUCAAUUCCAAUCUUCCAAUUUAUCCCGCCCCAAAUCUUUACCACUUCUAGGCAUACAGUUCAGUGGUAAUAACUAUGUUCAUAACACUGAGCAAUUAUCACCACCAUCCAUCCCCAUGAGCUCUUUCACCUUGUAAAAGUGAAACAAUACCCAUUAAAUACUUCUUCACUUCCUCAUUCCCAGCUCCUGACAACCACCAGGAUUAUUCUUCUUCUAAGAAUAUACCCAGACAACCUAUGUUUUCACCAAUUCAUCAAAAAGAAAACUCGAUGAUUGUGUUAAUAGUAUAAUUAAAACCUCAAAUAUUAAAAAUAUUAUGGUACUCCAUCUAGAAAUCCUCAACACUGGUGUCAAUAUAUGACAAACCUAAUUUUAGUUUUUUGUAAUGUAGCUGGAAAGAGGUACAUACAGCUAGAUGUCAACUGAUGCUCAUUCACUUUCACAUCCCUAAAUCUUUCUGUACCCUCUUGUUUUUACUCAGACCCACCUAUUUUUAUUUGCUUUAAAACAUUUUAUUGCAAUCUUUCUAAUAAAGAUCACCUAAUUGAUUUUGGUCCCCAAACUUCUAAUCAGCGCAUCCCCUCUCCACCGGAGUUUGACAGCUGCUCACACAGGUUCAUGCAGGAAACAUGUGAAGUUCCAAGGAUCUGACCAACACCAGGUAGGACAUCCUCUGCAUCAGCAAAAUCCUAAAACACAGUACCCAGGUAGAAGGCAUGUUGCUCUCCACUUCUUGUCCCAGCCUGUUGCUGAAGUGGCAGGAACCAUCACCUGGACAUCCCAGCCACCCCAAAAGUGCUUCUCCAAGAGAAUUCUAAACCUUAGGCCUUCAGUCACCAGGCUAGCCUGGAAUCUCUGUGAAGGAGUACUGCCCUGGCCGGGCUUCCCAAGCUCUUAGGCCUUCUUUUAAGAAUAACACACCGGUGGACGCUUUAACUCCCUCGUGGUGCCUCGGACCUUCCUUCGAGAAUCAGGAGCCUGCACGCCGGUAGCUGUGCAAAGACGGCGCAGGCUGUAGCCUCCCCCUGGCUUGGCGAAGGUUCCGCAGCAGACGACUGGGGAACUGCCGGAGAACCAUUUUUACUCUGCGCGUGUUC
ensembl:lncRNA